CGGACGUGGGCGACCUGCCUCACACAGGGGGAUAACAGCCAGAAAUGGCUGCUAAUACCGCAUAAGCGCACAGUGCUGCAUGGCACAGUGUGAAAAACCGAGGUGGUGUGAGAUGGGCCCGCGUCUGAUUAGCUUGUUGGCGGGGUAACGGCCCACCAAGGCGGCGAUCAGUAGCCGGCUUGAGAGAGUGGACGGCCACAUUGGAACUGAGACACGGUCCAAACUCCUACGGAAGGCAGCAG
rnacentral:rRNA from 1 species